rnacentral:rRNA from 1 species
CCUACGGGAGGCAGCAGUGGGGAAUAUUGGACAAUGGGGGCAACCCUGAUCCAGCCAUGCCGCGUGUGUGAAGAAGGCCCUCGGGUUGUAAAGCACUUUCAGUGAGGAAGAACGCCUGGUGGUUAAUACCCAUCAGGAAAGACAUCACUCACAGAAGAAGCACCGGCUAACUCCGUGCCAGCAGCCGCGGUAAUACGGAGGGUGCGAGCGUUAAUCGGAAUUACUGGGCGUAAAGCGCGCGUAGGUGGCUUGAUAAGCCGGGUGUGAAAGCCCCGGGCUCAACCUGGGAACGGCAUCCGGAACUGUCAAGCUAGAGUGCAGGAGAGGAAGGUAGAAUUCCCGGUGUAGCGGUGAAAUGCGUAGAGAUCGGGAGGAAUACCAGUGGCGAAGGCGGCCUUCUGGACUGACACUGACACUGAGGUGCGAAAGCGUGGGUAGCAAACAGGAUUAGAUACCCUUGUAGUC